CAGGGAGACAACAAAAUGUUUAAUAUUAUUAUUUUGUCACCUUAGGUCGAUCGGUAUCUCACGUUUUUAAUUUAUUAAGAAUUUCAUUUCCUAAGUUUUUCUAGGUCACACCCAUUAUUUUUCCUGGGCCAUUAGCUCAGGUGGUUAGAGCGCACCCCUGAUAAGGGUGAGGUCCCUGGUUCAAGUCCAGGAUGGCCCAUAUCUCUAUGUUGGGGGUAUAGCUCAGUUGGUAGAGCGCCUGCUUUGCAAGCAGGAUGUCAGCGGUUCGAGUCCGCUUACCUCCACUGAUUACCACCUCUUCCAUAACCGGUAGAAAGGAAAUGUUUUGAGUUGUGAUCAAAUUCUGAAAGAAUCUAGCUUCCUAAUGAAUUCAUUAAGAUGCUGGACUCAUUGAAUUAAUUUCAUUGUUUUCAGAGAACCUUGACAACUGCAUAGAUUAUUUUUAAAGACAAUAAGCAUCUUUAAUGAUGCAGAUUUAUUAUUUGUGCGAAUGCAUUAAUAACAAUUCUAUUAAGCUGAUGCUUCAAUUUUUGAAGUUAUU
rnacentral:tRNA from 1 species